rnacentral:rRNA from 1 species
CGGCGAGUGAAGCGGCAACAGCUCAAAUUUGAAAUCUGGCCCCCAGGGCCCGAGUUGUAAUUUGCAGAGGAUGCUUUUGGCGCGGCGCCUUCCGAGUUCCCUGGAACGGGACGCCAUAGAGGGUGAGAGCCCCGUCUGGUCGGACGCCAAGCCAGUGUAAAGCUCCUUCGACGAGUCGAGUAGUUUGGGAAUGCUGCUCUAAAUGGGAGGUAUAUGUCUUCUAAAGCUAAAUACCGGCCAGAGACCGAUAGCGCACAAGUAGAGUGAUCGAAAGAUGAAAAGCACUUUGAAAAGAGGGUUAAACAGUACGUGAAAUUGUUGAAAGGGAAGCGCUUGUGACCAGACUUGGGCCCGGUGAAUCAUCCAGCGUUCUCGCUGGUGCACUUCGCCGGGCUCAGGCCAGCAUCAGUUCGCCGCGGGGGACAAAGGCGUCGGGAACGUGGCUCCCUCGGGAGUGUUAUAGCCCGUCGCGCAAUACCCUGCGGUGGACUGAGGUUCGCGCUCCGCAAGGAUGCUGGCGUAAUGGUCAUCAGCGACCCGUCUUGAAACACGGACCAAGGAGUCGUCUUCGUAUGCGAGUGUUCGGGUGUCAAACCCCUACGCGUAAUGAAAGUGAACGCAGGUGAGAGCUUCGGCGCAUCAUCGACCGAUCCUGAUGUUCUCGGAUGGAUUUGAGUAAGAGCAUACGGGGCCGGACCCGAAAGAAGGUGAACUAUGCCUGUAUAGGGUGAAGCCAGAGGAAACUCUGGUGGAGGCUCGCAGCGGUUCUGACGUGCAAAUCGAUCGUCAAAUAUG